AUACGUAGGGAGCAAGCGUUGUCCGGAAUUACUGGGCGUAAAGGGCGCGCAGGCGGCCGUCCAAGUCCGGUGUUAAAUGGUCGGGCUCAACCCGAUCAUGCGCUGGAAACUGGGCGGCUUGAGUCCCGUAGGGGAUGCCGGAAUUCCAGGGGUAGGGGGGAAAUCUGUAGAUAUCUGGAAGAACACCGAUGGCGAAGGCAGGCAUCUGGCCGGAGACUGACGCUGAGGCGCGAAGGCGCGGGGAGCGAACAGGUUUAGAUACCCUGGUAGUCCGCGCAGUAAACGAUGCGCACCAGGUGUCGGGCGGCAGCGCCCGGUACCGGAGCUAACGCGAUGAGUGCGCCGCCUGGGGAGUAUGCCCGCAAGGGUGAAACUCAAAGGAAUUGGCGGGG
rnacentral:rRNA from 1 species